rnacentral:rRNA from 1 species
AUUGAACGCUGGCGGCAGGCCUAACACAUGCAAGUCGAACGAGUGGCGGACGGGUGAGUAAUGUCUGGGAAACUGCCCGAUGGAGGGGGAUACCUACUGGAAACGGUAGCUAAUACCGCAUACCAUCGGAUGUGCCCAGAUGGGAUUAGCUAGUUGGUGGGGUAACGGCUCACCUAGGCGACGCUCCCUAGCUGGUCUGAGAGGAGGACCGGCCACACUGGAACUGAGACACGGCACAGACUCCUACGGGAGGCAGCAGUGGGGAAUAGUGCACAAGGGGCGCAAGCCUGAUGCAGCCAUGCCGCGUGUAUGAAGAAGGCCUUCGGGUUGUAAAGUACGUUCAGCGAGGAGGCGUUACGCGCAGAAGAAGCACCGGCUAACGCCGUGCCAGCCGCCGCGGUAAUUC